AACGAACGCUGGCGGCGUGCCUAACACAUGCAAGUCGAACGAGAAAGGGGCUUCGGCUCCGAGUAAAGUGGCGCACGGGUGAGUAACACGUAGGUAACCUACCUCUAAGAUUGGGAUAACCUGUCGAAAGACGAGCUAAUACCGAAUAAGACCACAGCUUCCUUGGAAGCAGGGGUCAAAGGUAGCCUCUACUUGUAAGCUAUCACUUAGAGAUGGACCUGCGUACCAUUAGCAGUUGGUGAGGUAACGGCUCACCAAGGCAAAGAUGGUUAGCUGGUCUGAGAGGAUGAUCAGCCACACUGGAACUGAGACACGGUCCAGACU
rnacentral:rRNA from 1 species